AGAAAUUAAACUGAAGAGAGAAAUAGCUAUCUAGGUCUUUAGACUGGAAAAUAAAAAUAAACACGUGUAAUCAGAUUUGAAAUCCCCAAAUGAGAUUUUUAAGGGUGUUCUGGGAGGCUCUAGGUACGUUUAGUUUCCGUGUCCUGGGUAAGCCAUAUAAACUGUUUAUAUAAUAUAAUAUGUUUAUAUAUAAACAUAUGUUUAUAUAUAAACAUAUGUUUAUAUAUAAACAUGUUUAUAUAUAAACAUAUAAUAUGUUUAAUAUAAACAUAUUAAACUGAUUAAGUCACUAAUUAUGGUGCCUUAGGAUUUUCCUUGAAGGUCCAGGGCUUUGGACACUGACACUCCACUUCUACCAGAACAGCUUUGCUUUUAUUUGGUUAAUAUAGCAGGAAUCUGCUUAAGAUUUCACUGAGGAAACAGAAUUAUAGCACCACCUAUAGUCUGGCAAUGUGCUAUGAACUAAAAAAUGAAUCUCAAGAAUAGUGGGGAAGACAGAAAAGUGAAUUACAGUACAGUGUCAGGAAAAAAACCAUGAAGGGACAGUAAAGAAAGUCCAGUGAACUCCGAAGGGUCAAGGGAACAAGGAAGGUUUCCUGGAGUCUGUAACUGAAAAGGGAGGUAAGGAAGCUCAGAGAAUACUGCCGUUGCCCAAAGGAGGGAAGAGGAACGCAACAGUUACGCAACUCUGAAACGGGCGAAGUCUCCUGGAACGAACGAGGUUACAGAUCCGCGGACUAGGAUGGGCGCUAAAGUGAUUUCACGUGAUAGGCAAAGACCUACUUAAGCCAGCCUCUAGCUUUGCUCCGCCCCCAUCCCAUCUCAUCCUCCGUCAAAGGGGCGUGGCAUUUAAACAAAUGCACUCAGCUGGGAGGGUAUCCCAACCCUGAGGCCCGCGUCACCAGCGCGGGCGGGCGGCUGCGGAGUCUCCCAGAAAAGCUGGUAUCUCCCAGAGUGGUCUGGUUCGGGCUCCCCAGCCCCGGAGGGGCGGCUAAGAAGAAGGCGCUCACUGGUUGCUAUAGCGGCGAUCUAAGAGGCUGGGGAAAGUUGAUUGGCCGCAGAAUUGUUUGUUUCCUCAAAAAUGUCUCCUAUGGAGAGUGGGUGAGUGAUGGUUGAGCACCCAAUUCCACUGCGAGUGACCUUUUGAGAUUAUUGCUACCCCCAAGAUAUCUCAAAGAAGUCCAGGCAGUUCAUAUUAUCUGGGGUUUUGGCUCCCAACUCUGUGUUGAGGAAUGCUAGGUCUCAUGUUUGAGGUGGACUACUUGGUAAGUGUUUUUUUUCUUGGGCUACUCAGUAACUUAAAGCCUAGAAAACCCUCAAUGCCUAAAGUAGCCAAGAAGCCUCCUUGUUGAUUUUCUCCAGAUCUGUACUCCAAUAUUUCCAUCACAAUUAGAAGGAGAAUAAACUGACCCAAGAACACA
rnacentral:lncRNA from 1 species